rnacentral:rRNA from 1 species
AUUGAACGCUGGCGGCAUGCCUUACACAUGCAAGUCGAACGGUAACGCGGGGCAACCUGGCGACGAGUGGCGAACGGGUGAGUAAUGCAUCGGAACGUGCCCAGUAGUGGGGGAUAGCCCGGCGAAAGCCGGAUUAAUACCGCAUACGACCUACGGGUGAAAGCGGGGGAGCGUAAGGCCUCGCGCUAUUGGAGCGGCCGAUGUCAGAUUAGGUUGUUGGUGGGGUAAAAGCCUACCAAGCCGACGAUCUGUAGCUGGUCUGAGAGGACGACCAGCCACACUGGGACUGAGACACGGCCCAGACUCCUACGGGAGGCAGCAGUGGGGAAUUUUGGACAAUGGGGGCAACCCUGAUCCAGCCAUGCCGCGUGCGGGAAGAAGGCCUUCGGGUUGUAAACCGCUUUUGUCAGGGGAGAAACGCUCUGGGCUAAUACCCCGGGGUAAUGACGGUACCUGAAGAAUAAGCACCGGCUAACUACGUGCCAGCCGCCGCGGUAACAC